CGGAGACUGUGCGUGCCUGCCAGUAUUGUCAAAGUAGAGGGAAAGUGCAGAAAUGACACCUGCCAGCACCAGGGAGACUCUCAAAACACCCCUGCCAUUCUGGAAGAUACUUUAAGGGAAGUCCUGAGGGGUUUGACACUUUUCAUCCUCCAGCCAUUAAUCAUCUUAUAGGGAAAGGCUGUAUAUUGGUAGGAGUAAAGUGCCAGCAGUUCCUGGCCGGGUGAUAGUCCAGCUGAGGGUGUCUGACUGACAGCAUGUUGGCACCAGCAUUGAAGGGAGUGAUGGGCUUUGGCUCCAGGUUCCUGUCCUGAGACCACAGCAGGAUGUGCCUUGGACAAAGGCUUGGAUUCCUGGAUCAUCUGGUGACUUCAAGUAUCUGGUCUCAGGGUGGUGAACUUUUUCUCUGAAUUCCUAACCUGUGAGCUUAUGAUGAUGGUGCCUGUCAAUUAACUGAACAACUGUGAGAAAACUAUAGUUCGUAAUGAAGACACUGUAUACUGAACAUCUUGAUGAAAAGUCAGAAGAUUGAGCUGGCAUAAAUCAACACAUGAAUCUAGAAGCCUGCAGGUGGAAUGAAGAGCAAAGUUUAUCCAU